rnacentral:rRNA from 1 species
AUCUGCCUUUUGGUUUGGAAUAACACGGGGAAACUUGUGCUAAUACCGGAUAAGCCUUUACAGGGAAAGUUUUAACGCCAAAAGAUGAGCCCAUACUUGAUUAGCUAGUUGGUAAGGUAAUGGCUUACCAAGGCUACGAUCAAUAGCUGAUCUGAGAGGAUGAUCGGCCACAUUGGGACUGAGACACGGCCCAAACUCCUACGGGAGGCAGCAGUGGGGAAUCUUGCACAAUGGGGGAAACCUUGAUGCAGCGAUGCCGCGUGAGUGAAGAAGGCCUUUGGGUUGUAAAGCUCUUUCGUCGGGGAAGAAAAUGACUGUACCCGAAUAAGAAGGUCCGGCUAACUUCGUGCCAGCAGCCGCGGUAAUACGAAGGGACCUAGCGUAGUUCGGAAUUACUGGGCUUAAAGAGCUCGUAGGUGGUUAAGAAAGUUGGUGGUGAAAUCCCAAGGCUUAACCUUGGAACUGCCACCAAAACUUUUUGACUAGAGUAUGAUAGAGGUAAGUGGAAUUUCUAGUGUAGAGGUGAAAUUCGUAGAUAUUAGAAAGAACACCAAUUGCGAAGGCAACUUUCUGGAUCAUUACUGACACUGAGGAGCGAAAGCAUGGGUAGCGAAGAGGAUUAGAUACCCUCGUAGUCCAUGCCGUAAACGAUGUGUGCUAGACGUUGGAAAUUUAUUUUUCAGUGUCGCAGCAAAAGCAUUAAGCACACCGCCUGGGGGAGUACGACCGCAAGGUUAAAACUCAAAUGAAUUGACGGGGACCCGCACAAG